rnacentral:piRNA from 1 species
UCUGAGCCGAUGUUGAACCAGCUG